GCCUCCCGACAGGCCUGUGUGGCCGGUGGCGGGCGGGCCGUUACCUCCCGCGCAUGCUCUAUGGGGUAGAGACGCUAGGCCGGCACUGCCUAGGUGGGCCGGGCGGUGCGAGGGUCGCCUUUCAGCCUUUACCUCUACCCACUGAAAUGGAGUAGGUCGGUGAGCGCCGAUCUGCUGGAGAAUCUCAUUAUCCCAUCGGCGCUCUGCCUGCUCCUGGCCUCCAAGCCUCUGAAGCCCCUCGGGUUUCAGCUGCCGGCUACCCUCGAGCCCGUGGUGCCCACGAGAGAGGCGACUUUACGUCAGCGGCCCUGGGCUGAGAUUUGAGAACGCGACCAAGUGGAGAAUGUUGGAGCCAGAUUUUAAAAUCCUUGUCUUCCUUCUGCGUGCUACUUGAUCUAAAUGAGAUACGGCAAAGUCACAGAACCUGUUUUUAUGUUUUUGCCUGAUUCAUACGGGCUUCUCCGGUGAAGAUGGGCCUGAAGUAACGCUUGGGUUGCUUCUGACGUUAUAACUCAUCCUGUAGCUGCAGCAACCGUGGUCCUUGCAACCUCAUAAAAAUGUUGCCAGCAUUGUUUCGAUAGUGCUGCUUAAUUCUUGGAAGGCCUCUUUGCUUUCUUCCCUGAGGUUCUUCGGACUUCACACAUUCCAGCAGUAGCUCUCUCAGCUCCUGUCCUGCACAGCUUUGAAGUGCUGGUGAUGUCAUUGAACUCUUAAGUGCAAGAUGAAACAAGUCUUUCUGGGGUUCUAAGUAGGACACAGCCCUGGUGAUGGCUUUCUGAGGAUGACACGAUGGAGGCUUCUCCAAUAGCUCUAAAACUGCGGUGUGGAAAACAUUCGGCAGCCUCAAAGAGCGGUCUUGUUGACCCCAACUAUAUCAUUUUUCAUCAAAAUCAUUCUUGUAAAGAAUGACCAGGCAACACUCUUUGAAAAUUGGAGGCCAUUUGCAGCUGCUCUCUGUUGAGGAAAGUGAAUAAUAGGGUGCCCUCAAGGAAUUGCAAAGGUAUCACUCAACAGAAACUUUCGUGUCUGAAGAAAACUAGAUCAUUUUAUCAUGGUAGGCAUGCUGAUAUGUUUGCUUUAAUAAAAUGCCAUAUUUCUGCCUUUAAUCUCUUGUCAACCCGCUAUUAAAAAGCCCCAAAGUGCAUGUGUGCAGCGCAUGUAAACACUUGUGGUUUUGAGGUUACCACAGAACAUACUAAUAAAGCAUGUAAUUUGUGUUUUGUGCA
rnacentral:lncRNA from 1 species